GAUGAACGCUGGCGGCGUGCCUAAUACAUGCAAGUCGAGCGAACAGACGAGGAGCUUGCUCCUUUGACGUUAGCGGCGGACGGGUGAGUAACACGUGGAUAACCUACCUAUAAGACUGGGAUAACUUCGGGAAACCGGAGCUAAUACCGGAUAACAUGUUGAACCGCAUGGUUCAACAGUGAAAGACGGUCUUGCUGUCACUUAUAGAUGGAUCCGCGCCGCAUUAGCUAGUUGGUAAGGUAACGGCUUACCAAGGCAACGAUGCGUAGCCGACCUGAGAGGGUGAUCGGCCACACUGGAACUGAGACACGGUCCAGACUCCUACGGGAGGCAGCAGUAGGGAAUCUUCCGCAAUGGGCGAAAGCCUGACGGAGCAACGCCGCGUGAGUGAAGAAGGUCUUCGGAUCGUAAAACUCUGUUAUCAGGGAAGAACAAAUGUGUAAGUAACUAUGCACGUCUUGACGGUACCUAAUCAGAAAGCCACGGCUAACUACGUG
rnacentral:rRNA from 1 species